GAGGAUGAGUUGAGACAGAUUCAGGAGGGAACCUUGUCGGCCAUUUCAUUUGGCCUCGAUAGCUUGACGGGCACAAGCAGCACAAGUGCGGUGCAGUGUGAUCUAGGAUCUGGUAGUGCAAUUGGAGACAAGGGAAAGAGAAUCCUUGGCUUCACAUCCUUGAUGACUACACCCAGU